rnacentral:rRNA from 1 species
CCUACGGGAGGCAGCAGUGGGGAAUCUUGCGCAAUGGGCGAAAGCCUGACGCAGCCAUGCCGCGUGAAUGAUGAAGGUCUUAGGAUUGUAAAAUUCUUUCACCGGGGACGAUAAUGACGGUACCCGGAGAAGAAGCCCCGGCUAACUUCGUGCCAGCAGCCGCGGUAAUACGAAGGGGGGCUAGCGUUGCUCGGAAUUACUGGGCGUAAAGGGAGCGUAGGCGGAUAGUUUAGUCAGAGGUGAAAGCCCAGGGCUCAACCUUGGAAUUGCCUUUGAUACUGGCUAUCUUGAGUAUGGGAGAGGUUAGCGGAACUCCGAGUGUAGAGGUGAAAUUCGUAGAUAUUCGGAAGAACACCAGUGGCGAAGGCGGCUAACUGGCCCAUUACUGACGCUGAGGCUCGAAAGCGUGGGGAGCAAACAGGAUUAGAUACCCUGGUAGUCCACGCCGUAAACGAUGAGUGCUAGUUGUCGGCAUGCAUGCAUGUCGGUGACGCAGCUACGACAUAAGACACUCCGCCGUCGGGAGGUACGGUCGCGAGAAUUAAACUACAAUAGAAGUUAGACGGCGUGAGACGUGCCGAACGGACGACCGACGAGGGAGGUAGG